rnacentral:rRNA from 1 species
CGGAGCUCCCCUGCGCCGCGUCCUCCGCCGCCGCCGCAGCUACCUCCUCCGCCGCUCCCUUUUGCCUCGCGCAGCUCCCCUGCCUCACUUGCCUGCCUCCCGAAUCUCCCCUCUUUGACCCCAAAAAUUGCUUCUUCUUCCUCCCGCCGUGUCUCUUGCUCGAGCCCACCACCUCCCACCUAGCGUUGAUGGAAGAAGCGUGGCCAGCCCUCGGCCUGGCGGCCGGCGACGCGGCCUUCCCACCCCCGCCCCGGCCCCCGUGGCGUGGGGCGCGGCCGCGACGGCGCGGCGGGAGACGGUGGCCAAGGAAUCGUCCGCGCGCAGGCGGUGAGCCGGAUCGUGUCCAGCCGCGCCAACUCAAGUGGCCUGGCCGUGGACGUCGUCGACGCCAACGCCGUCAUCUCGGGAGGCGCCGCGCUCGCCUCCACCGCGGGCCGGCUGGUCACGGUGCUCGAGGAGGUGUGCGACGCCGCAGCGCGCCGGAGGCUCGCGCUCCUGCCCACCCCCGUCGAGACCACCGAGCCCGCCCCUGAGUUCGUCAAGGGAGUAGGGCCAGCUCGAACCGUGUGCACCUGGAAGAAGGCCAGCCCAAAGUUGAUGAAGGGAGAAAGCCAAUAGGAUGCCCUGCAAAUCGAUUUCGAACAAGUUUACUGCAGUACCUGACGGCCUCUCACAGUCUGCAACCAGCCAACCACCUCUACUGGCUGCUGCCACUCCUCACAUUGGCUAGGUAAUUCCUCUUAAUUUCUAAGAAAGCUAUCCCCUGCUCUCCGUUGCAACAAGUGUAUGAAUUUUUAACUGAACUUCAACUGAAAAACUGUGUAUCACUGUAUAAAGGAGAAAAUGACUAUGGAUUAAAGGUCUGAGAAAACUGUGUAUGUACACUGUGUAUCACUGUAUCAUGGAGCAGUAUAGUACUGAAAACAUCUCCAUAAAUGAAUUUUGACAGUUUACAGAUUCAGAGUUUGGAGUACUAGCAAUUAUCUUCAGCAAGACAAGUUUACAAACAUCUCCAUAACUGAAUUUUACAAAUUCUCCAUAAAUGAAGACAUCUCCACAAAUUCUCCACAAAUGAAUUUUGCUUGUACAUACACUGUGUACAAGCAAGAUAAAUUCAGCAAGACAAGUUUACAAAUUCUCCAUGAAUGAAUUUUGACAGUUUACAAACAUCUCCACGAAUACAUGGAAAGAAAAGUUUACAAAUUAUCUUCAGCAAUUAUCUUGCAGGUUCAUCAGCACUUGAAAAAACAGCCAUAGUAAAUUCAGAGUUUGGAGUACUAGCAAAUUAACUGAACCCUGAAACCUGAAAUUUUAACUGAAUUUUACCAUCUUAUUCUUCCUGAGGAACACGAGCUCUGGGCUCUGGCGGCAGCACAAGGAGCAGGGCAGAGGAGCAGGACCUCGUCAGCGUGCUUCUUGCUGCGCGCCAGUCCCCGGCGCCGGGGGCAAGGGGCGGGGUGGGGUCGGGAUCCUCGAUGCCGCAGGUGGCGCUGGUGCUGGAGGUGACGCUGUUCCCCCCGCUCGCCGGCGUAGCCGCUGCUGCUGGGGCUGGGCGGACCGGCGUCGCCGGCCAUCCUCCUCC